UACGAAGGGGGCUAGCGUUGCUCGGAAUCACUGGGCGUAAAGGGUGCGUAGGCGGGUUUUUAAGUCAGAGGUGAAAUCCUGGAGCUCAACUCCAGAACUGCCUUUGAUACUGAGAAUCUUGAGUUCGGGAGAGGUGAGUGGAACUGCGAGUGUAGAGGUGAAAUUCGUAGAUAUUCGCAAGAACACCAGUGGCGAAGGCGGCUUACUGGACACAUAUUGACGCUGAGGUGCGAAAGCGUGGGGAGCAAACAGG
rnacentral:rRNA from 1 species